rnacentral:rRNA from 1 species
UAAAAAUGUAAGAAAAAGCUAAAAGAGUAAUAGUUUAUGUUCUAUAAAAUUAAAAAUUUUGGCGGUAUUUUAUUUCUAUUCAGAGGAACCUGUUCAUUAAUUUGAUAAUCCACGAAUUUAUAUACUUAUUUUUAGUUUUCAUAUCGUUGUAGGUUGAGUAUUUUAAAAGAAAAUUAAUCUUCAAAAAAUUUUUUAAAUAAGAAUUCAGAUCAAGGUGUAGCGUAUAAAUAAGAUGAAAUGGGUUACAAUAAAUUAAUUUUUAGAUUUAGCAUUGAAAAUGUUAAUGAAAUUGGAUUUGAUUGUAAUUGAAAAUAAAUUUUUAAGAUGAAAUUGCUCUAAAAUGUGU